GAUGAACGCUGGCGGCGUGCCUAAUACAUGCAAGCCGAGCGAACGGACGAGAAGCUUGCUUCUCUGAUGUUAGCGGCGGACGGGUGAGUAACACGUGGAUAACCUACCUAUAAGACUGGGAUAACUUCGGGAAACCGGAGCUAAUACCGGAUAAUAUUUUGAACCGCAUGGUUCAAAAGUGAAAGACGGUCUUGCUGUCACUUAUAGAUGGAUCCGCGCUGCAUUAGCUAGUUGGUAAGGUAACGGCUUACCAAGGCAACGAUGCAUAGCCGACCUGAGAGGGUGAUCGGCCACACUGGAACUGAGACACGGUCCAGACUCCUACGGGAGGCAGCAGUAGGGAAUCUUCCGCAAUGGGCGAAAGCCUGACGGAGCAACGCCGCGUGAGUGAUGAAGGUCUUCGGAUCGUAAAACUCUGUUAUUAGGGAAGAACAUAUGUGUAAGUAACUGUGCACAUCUUGACGGUACCUAAUCAGAAAGCCACGGCUAAUUACGUGCCAGCAGCCGCGGUAAUACGUAGGUGGCAAGCGUUAUCCGGAAUUAUUGGGCGUAAAGCGCGCGUAGGCGGUUUUUUAAGUCUGAUGUGAAAGCCCACGGCUCAACCGUGGAGGGUCAUUGGAAACUGGAAAACUUGAGUGCAGAAGAGGAAAGUGGAAUUCCAUGUGUAGCGGUGAAAUGCGCAGAGAUAUGGAGGAACACCAGUGGCGAAGGCGACUUUCUGGUCUGUAACUGACGCUGAUGUGCGAAAGCGUGGGGAUCAAACAGGAUUAGAUACCCUGGUAGUCCACGCCGUAAACGAUGAGUGCUAAGUGUUAGGGGGUUUCCGCCCCUUAGUGCUGCAGCUAACGCAUUAAGCACUCCGCCUGGGGAGUACGACCGCAAGGUUGAAACUCAAAGGAAUUGACGGGGACCCGCACAAGCGGUGGAGCAUGUGGUUUAAUUCGAAGCAACGCGAAGAACCUUACCAAAUCUUGACAUCCUUUGACAACUCUAGAGAUAGAGCCUUCCCCUUCGGGGGACAAAGUGACAGGUGGUGCAUGGUUGUCGUCAGCUCGUGUCGUGAGAUGUUGGGUUAAGUCCCGCAACGAGCGCAACCCUUAAGCUUAGUUGCCAUCAUUAAGUUGGGCACUCUAAGUUGACUGCCGGUGACAAACCGGAGGAAGGUGGGGAUGACGUCAAAUCAUCAUGCCCCUUAUGAUUUGGGCUACACACGUGCUACAAUGGACAAUACAAAGGGCAGCGAAACCGCGAGGUCAAGCAAAUCCCAUAAAGUUGUUCUCAGUUCGGAUUGUAGUCUGCAACUCGACUACAUGAAGCUGGAAUCGCUAGUAAUCGUAGAUCAGCAUGCUACGGUGAAUACGUUCCCGGGUCU
rnacentral:rRNA from 1 species